GCCGAUGUAGCUCAGUCCGGUAGAGCAGCUCAUUCGUAAUGAGCAGGUCAGGGGUUCGAAUCCCCUCGUCGGCU
rnacentral:tRNA from 1 species